rnacentral:rRNA from 1 species
AUUGAACGCUGGCGGCAGGCCUAACACAUGCAAGUCGAGCGGAUGAAGGGAGCUUGCUCCUGGAUUCAGCGGCGGACGGGUGAGUAAUGCCUAGGAAUCUGCCUGGUAGUGGGGGAUAACGUCCGGAAACGGGCGCUAAUACCGCAUACGUCCUGAGGGAGAAAGUGGGGGAUCUUCGGACCUCACGCUAUCAGAUGAGCCUAGGUCGGAUUAGCUAGUUGGUGGGGUAAAGGCCUACCAAGGCGACGAUCCGUAACUGGUCUGAGAGGAUGAUCAGUCACACUGGAACUGAGCCACGGUCCAGACUCCUGCGGGAGGCAGCAGUGGGGAAUAUUGGACAAUGGGCGAAAGCCUGAUCCAGCCAUGCCGCGUGUGUGAAGAAGGUCUUCGGAUUGUAAAGCACUUUAAGUUGGGAGGAAGGGCAGUAAGUUAAUACCUUGCUGUUUUGACGUUACCAACAGAAUAAGCACCGGCUAACUUCGUG